rnacentral:rRNA from 1 species
UACGUAGGGUGCGAGCGUUGUCCGGAAUUAUUGGGCGUAAAGGGCUCGUAGGCGGUUGUCGCGUUCGGGAGUGAAUCCACUGGCUUAACUGGUGGCUUGCUUCGAUACGGGCAGACUGGAGGUAUGCAGGGGAGAACGGAAUUCCUGGUGUAGCGGUGAAAUGCGCAGAUAUCAGGAGGAACACCGAUGGCGAAGGCAGAUCUCUGGGCCGUUACUGACGCUGAGGAGCGAAAGCGUGGGAGCGAACAGG